UACGAAGGGGGCUAGCGUUGCUCGGAAUCACUGGGCGUAAAGGGUGCGUAGGCGGGUCUUUAAGUCAGGGGUGAAAUCCUGGAGCUCAACUCCAGAACUGCCUUUGAUGCUGAAGAUCUUGAGUUCGGGAGAGGUGAGUGGAACUGCGAGUGUAGAGGUGAAAUUCGUAGAUAUUCGCAAGAACACCAGUGGCGAAGGCGGCUCACUGGCCCGAUACUGACGCUGAUGCACGAAAGCGUGGGGAGCAAACAGG
rnacentral:rRNA from 1 species